GAUGAACGCUGGCGGCGUGCCUAAUACAUGCAAGUCGAGCGAACAGACGAGGAGCUUGCUCCUCUGACGUUAGCGGCGGACGGGUGAGUAACACGUGGAUAACCUACCUAUAAGACUGGGAUAACUUCGGGAAACCGGAGCUCAUACCGGAUAAUAUAUUGAACCGCAUGGUUCAAUAGUGAAAGCCGGUUUUGCUGUCACUUAUAGAUGGAUCCGCGCCGCAUUAGCUAGUUGGUAAGGUAACGGCUUACCAAGGCAACGAUGCGUAGCAGACCUGAGAGGGUGAUCAGCCACACUGGAACUGAGACACGGCCCAGACUCCUACGGGAGGCAGCAGUGGGGAAUCUUCCGCAAUGGGCGAAAGCCUGACGGAGCAACGCCGCGUGAGUGAUGAAGGUCUUCGGAUCGUAAAACUCUGUUGUUAGGAAAGAAAAAAUGUGUAAGAAACUAUGCACGUCUUGACGGUACCGAAAGAGAAAGCCCCGGCUAACUACGUG
rnacentral:rRNA from 1 species